UCCACGCCGUAAACGAUGUCAACUAGCCGUUGGGACCUUGAGGUCUCAGUGGUGCAGCUAACGCGUGAAGUUGACCGCCUGGGGAGUACGGCCGCAAGGCUAAAACUCAAAUGAAUUGACGGGGGGCCCGCACAAGCGGUGGAGCAUGUGGUUUAAUUCGAUGCAACGCGAAGAACCUUACCAUCCCUUGACAUCAUCAGAACUUGUUAGAGAUAACUCGGUGCCUUCGGGAA
rnacentral:rRNA from 1 species